CUACAUUGUUUUCCCCUUUCCAAUUCCCUUAAGAGACCAAACCCCUUAUUCCCCUAUUCUCGAAGAACGGAUCCCCCCCUUUUAGAAACCCUCGUCGUCCCCCUAAUUCCCAUUUUCUCCGAAAAACAAACGAGACCCCCCUGAAAACAAAAGUCCUAGCCGCCUCCCUCCUCCUCCUCUUCUUCUUCUCUCUCGAGUAGCCAUGAGUUUUGAAAAAAUAUCAAUCUCUGCCAAUUUGCUGGACGAAUCCGGUUGGUUUUCAAAGUCGAAUAGAGUUCUUAAGGGGUUGUUUGUUGCUAGGACUGUGGCUGAGCCCCAUUCAUUGCUUAUCCUAUCUUUAUUUGGGUUCAAUCGAGUUUCUGCUUUUAGAUUUAGGUAUGCAUCUAUAAAACUAUACUUUUGUUGUCGAAAUAAUUAAAAUUUGCUCAUGUCAUUUCCGGCUUCUGAUGUGCUUCUAUACGAGUUUUAUGAAUUGGGCAGUAAAUUCCUGAUCUAGCCUUUAUAUGCUUAGCUUGUUUGUGAAAGAAUGGCUUAGAAUCCUCAUAUGUUGGUACUGAGUUAUGUGUUUUAUUUGAUUAAAGGUGUUUGAUAAGCAGUAUGCAAAAAUAGUUAUUGCGAUGGAAAGGUUCAUUCUACCUUUUUCAUACUCAGAUUUCUUAAUCAUUUCUUUUCAUAUUUGUUUGUUCAUGAAUUUCUAUCCAUAUGUAUUGUGUGACUUCUGUUAAAUGCUUAUUAUAUAGGGUCGUUAGUUGGAUUUUUCCUUGAGUGCUUCGUUGUGAACUGAAUUGUGUUUUAGAGUUUGGGUAACAGUGAAUGCUUAAGCUCUUUUAUUUGAUUUCAUGAAUAUUGGAUUGUUUUAUAUAAUUUGCUAAGUUAACUCUUUACAUCUUUGUUAACCAAAUAGAGAAGAAGGUUGUAGGAUUUGUUUUUAAAUUUAUCUAGUUAUUUUAUUAAGGUUGAAUCCACAAAUGCAUAACAUGUUGAAUAUUAUUGGGUUUGAAAAGUUAUUCCUCCGUAUGGACUAAACUGAUUUCAACCAAGAAUGAGGCUGAGCGAUUUACUAUCUGUCUAGCCCAUUCAAAAACAAAGGCUCGCGGACCCAAUAUCUCCUAUACUAAUAGUUUGAUAAUUCCAAAAGUUAAAAUGCUUCACUAUCUCCAACAAUUCCAUGUCCAUAACUUAUCGCCCUACUAUAAUAUCAAAUUAGUUUUAGGGAAAUAACUCAUAAUACGCUAGAAUGCUUUAGGAGCGCUUUUAAUCUAUUAUCGUGAUUAUGUACACGUUUGCAUGACAUAAUUAUGAUUCCCAAAAUAAAUCAAGGUAUGCGUUUACGUGACUUUGGCUGAACAAUCUUAGUAAUUCAUAAGGCGUGAUUAAUUGUGUACACGUACACAUGAUAUGAUUUUAACGCCUCCAAAUAAAACGGAUUUAUACACAUGUAAUUCAUUUCAAAGAUAAAUCCAUAACGCCAUAAUAAAAAGCGGUGAAAGGUAUACACAUAGGUUCUAAAAUACAUAAUUAAAUAAUUAAUUAAGCCAGGUAUGAUUAAAAUAACCAUGCUAAAAUCAUAGAAUCCGGGAGUGCCUCACACCUUCUUUCGGAUUAACAAAAUUCCUUAACUGGUCUUCUAUGUUCGCGGACCAUUAAACAAAGUCAAUUUCCUCGGUUUGAGAUUUUAAAACAAAUCGGUGACUUGGGACACCAUAAUAAAUAUUUCAAGUGGAGACUCCAAUUAAAUAAAUAAUCUCAUUUUGAUUAAUGUCACUUUAAUCGUCAAAACUCCCUAUCCCUUCAGAAAAAGGAGGUGUGACAGCUCUGGCGACUCUGCUGGAGAUCGAACCCAGAAUCUCUGGUUCAGGGUUCAGAAUUCGAGCUUGUAAUGUGAUCUAUACUUGGCUUUCUUGAUUGUUGAUAUUACUGUGUUUGUGGGCCUAACGUGUUAAUUGUCGCUCAUUUACCCCUUUAAUAUUGUAUAAAAUGUCUUCUUAAGUCUUCCUUCUAAGUCUUCUGAACUAUUGGUGCACACGUGCGUGUGACCUACUUUUCUGUUAGAGAUCAUACCAAAUAGAGCAAGGCUAGAUCAGUAACUAGGCCGGGUAGACUUUCGUAAUUCCGGUUUGUUGCCCCCACCUCGGCUCGAGCUGUCCGCUUGGGUAAGCCAGGUCUAAAACACUCCCCCCUCUAGGAUUUUAAAGUUGGAAUAACAUAGCCUCAUGAUGGAUCCCUAGCAGGAACAUUUAUUUGCAUCACGUGCAUUUAACUUUGGAGACUCAACACAGGAGUUGGAUCCUGAUAGGACAGAUGUACCCAAAAUAAGAGACUAUCAUGAUGCAUGCUACGUGCUAUUUGUGCAUUUGUUUGUUUCGGCUUACAUGUUGAUCGACUUCUAGAAUGGGGAAAGAAAAUCAGGAAAUACCAAGAGUGAGGUAGGAGACAGAAAAUUUACCCGGUUCUGAAAACCCCAAGUUUUGGAAAAUCCUAAAACUCUGCCAAAAUUUUGAAAAAAAAGGUGAAAAAGAAACGUCAUCUCAAGGUAAGUCAAUAUUUUCAAAAGUCAUAUUUUUCCUGUUGUGUCAAAACUGACCGAACUACGCGAUUUAAUUCUCACUGAAUGUGAGAUACGUAGGCAAUCCUCAUUGAAUUCGGCCCAUAAUUUUAAAAAAAAUCCAAAAAUAUUUUCCUUUACUUCCUUCUUUAGAAAAGUCUUUCUUUGAGACCCCAAUUUUCAAAAUAUCCAAAAAAGUAUUUUCCUUUUUCUUAAUUACCUCUUUAGAUUUCUUUACUUAGAAAAUCAAAAAAAUCAAAAAAUAUUUUUCUUCUUUUCCGAAGUCUUUCAUUCAUAAAGAAAAAAGAAAAGAAAAACAAAUUUCAAAUCAAAAUCCAAAAUAUUUUCUUUCUUCUUUAGAAGUCUUUCUUUCGAAAUUCCAAAACAAAAAUCAAUCAAAAUCCAAAAUAUUUUCUUGUUAAAGAGCUUUUUGUGGUACAUUUUCAAAAAAAAAAAAGAGACAAAAGAUGGUGAAUAAAUUAGAAAAAAGAGUUAGUUCAUUUACUUUGUUUCUGGUAUCCCUGAACUACGUAAUGAUCUGAUUCAUGCGACGUCAUGAUAUUUAGACAAUUCCCAUAGGAAGCGAUCAUAGCCAUAACAAACAGAGGAAAAAUAACAAAAAAGAACGAAAAAGAAAAAAAAGGAGAAAAAUUGAGUGAAAAACAAACAAAAAAAAAGAAAAAAGAAAAGAAAAUAAAGAGUGACAAAAACAAGAGGGAAAAAUCAAGAGUGAUGAGAUCAAAAAUAAAGAGAAUGGUAAAAUCAACAAAGAGCCAGAAAUGGAAGAAAAGAGUGCAGACAUUUGAAAGCCGAGAUGAAACACGCAACCGUUCAAACGCAUGGUAGAAGCGUUUAACUGUUUAGGUGCAUUGCAUCCCAACGUGCAAUUUCCUAAUGGUUAAAUGCCUCAAAACUAACAAGGUUGUUGUGCGUGCAAUUUAGCCCGGUUCUAUUCAGGUGGUUGGUUUUGUUGGUAAUCUGGCUUUCCAUCCCUACUUCACAAGAUCUAAAGACAAAGUCCCUAUGGCCUCCGAAAGUCAUCUACCAAUUAUUGAUCCUGAGAAUAGCCCGGCAUCGGUUAUUCCACAACCGGAAUCAGCAAAUGCUAAAGAGAAUAGAAUGUUGCAUCUUGGCAUGCUAGAGAUGUAGGACAAAUGGUCUAAUGGGAGGGAACCGCCGAGUGCAAUCCCUGGGUUUCCUGAUUUGAUCCUGAGAUCAUGUAGGGCUACCAACGUCCCUGUGUCCGACUCAUUUAUCCGGUGCGGAUACCCUCUAAUGACGUUUAACAGUCCUGGCAUGCAUUCUAUGGUUCAACCCCAGGCACCGAUUUCAAGGGCACCGCCAACAAUGUUCUUUGUAGCACCAGCCUGCGCCACAACACGACCAACUAUGCCACGACUGUAUGUUGAGCCUCCAACGUUCACCUUUCAGGGUCCACAACUUCAACCAAAAAUAAUAUAUGUGACCCCAUACUCAUCCACUCAACCUACGCAAUAUGACUUCUUAGUUGAGCAAGAAAAAGUUGUCAAGAAUCCCGAGUAAGAGGAAAUGGCUCGAAAGAUAAAAAGCUUGGAGCAGAGUUUAAAGAACAUGCAAGGCUUGAGUCGCCAAAAAGGAGUCUCUUACGCUGACUUGUGCAUGUUUCCCCAUGUCUACUUGUCAGCUGGCUUCAAGAUGCCAAAAUUUGAAAGGUAUGAUGGGCACGGAGACCCGAUCGCUCAUCUAAAACAAUACUGUAACCAGCCGAGGGGCGCUUGUGGAAAAAAGGAGCUGUUAAUGGCAUAUUUUGGAGAAAGUCUCACCGAAAGUGCUUCCGAAUGAUACAUGGAUCAAGAAAUGACCCAUUGACAUGUAUGGUACAAUUUGGCCAGAGAUUUUGUCCGCCAGUUCCAGUAUAAUAUGGACAUCGCUCCCGGCAGAAACUCUUUGUCCAAUUUGGAGAAAAAAAACCACGAAAAGUUUCUGUGAAUAUGCUGUCAAAUGGCGCGAGCAAGCCUCCAGGGUAAAGCCUCAAAUGGACGGAGCAUAAAUGGUUACGGUCUUCCUAUAGGCCCAAGAGACGGACUACUUCCAGAACAUGAUGUUCGCUAUGGGUAUGUCGUUCGCCGAGGUUAUCAAAAUUGGGGAGAUGGUAGAAUAUGGUUUUAAAAUGGGCUGAAUCAUGAGUCAUGAUGCCUUUAAGGCCACAUCACAGGAUGUUCAGAAUGGUUCGGGGGGCUUGAUGAACAGAUACAAGAGAGAAGAGAGAGCCAUGAUGGUUUCGAACUCGAGGGGGCCCGUAUGUCAUUCAACCAAUCAUAUUUGUUUUCUAAGGUCUCGCAACACUAUUAUCACCAUCAAAAUGCUGCUUAUGUCGUGGCACCGCCUCCCUAUGCGGUGAAGAAUGCGCAACCUUACAUGCGACCAUAACAUUAUAUACAAAAUCGAGCUCCACCUCCCAGAAAUGCUCGUUCCUACCAAGCUUCAUAUAAUCCCAACCAAAUGAUCCCCAAUAAAAUCCUUGCCCAAGAGAGUCUCUCAGAAAGAAUCAAUUCACCCCUAUUGGUGAAUCAUACUCGAGCUUGUUUCAAAAGCUAGUCAGGCUAGGUCUGCUGCAGCCCAUGGCUCCAAAUCGGCCAAACCCCGAGUCCCCCUCACACCGGGCUAAUACUAUAUGUGCAUACCACUCUGGAGCAGUGAGACAUGAUACAGAAGGCUGUUGGACUCUUAAAAGAGUAGUGGAAGACCUCAUAGAGGUCAAGGCAAUAGUGCUUCGGGAUGAAGAUGCCCCUAAAAUGACGAACAAUCCUCUAACUACUCAUACCAGUGGACCAGUAGUUGGAAUGAUCUGUGAAGAUGAGGAAUUUGAUCCGGAACUAAAGGCCAUUGCCGUCAUUGACGAGAUAGAAGAAAAGCAAAAAAACAGUCAUCAAACCUGAAAGUUCCCUGUUAGGCGGGAGUCUCGGUGGCCGGUCUUGCUAUCCUUUCUACGUCCAGAUUAUUUCAGGGUGUAAUCCGGAUAUUUUACUUUUAUUGUCUUACUUUCCAAUGUAAACUCUUGUAUCUUUAUAAUUCAAAUAAAUGAAAUAAAUAUUUCAUCGUCCAUAUCUUUUUUUUUUUACUUUGUCACUUCGCUUGUUCUUUGUUCAGUUAUGUUAAAUGCAGCUUUCAAUAACAUGACAUGCUUGCGGACUUCAUGCCUAGAUCCUAAAACACGGUCAGACUUCAAAAUAAUGAAUCAAAAAUCAGAAUGUAAUGAAGAUAGGUUUAAGAAAAUAAAACAAAGAAUCGGAACAGCUAAAGGAAAAUUAGCUCCGGAUUGGAAAGGUCCAUACAUUGUAACGAGAGUACUGGUAAAAGAUAGCAUUGUACCUGGGAAACAUCGAAGGAAAUGUCUCUAAAAUAACUGUCAACGCAUGUAUAGUCAAAAGGUACUAUGCUUGAUCCUCUAUAUAACAUUAAUGUUCUCUGGUUGGGAUGAAAAAGGCUUUUAUUCUCGCUACCCAAACACCAUUAACCCUUUUGUCAACCCUUUAAGCUGGUUAUCUUUCUUUGAUUUCCUUCUUUGGAACAUGAAGUGUUAAAAAAAAAGAAGACAAAAAGAAAAGAAGAAAAAUAUAAAUAAAAAUAAAAUAAAAUAAAAAGAAGAAGAAAAAAAUAAAAAUGAAGGAAAACAAAAAAAAAACAAAAACAAAGUCCAUUGAACUACAUUCGGCUUGAUUCCGAAAGGAUACGUAGGUAGCCUCUCUCUGGGAUUCAGUCACACCAAAACAAAAAUCCACAUUCCCCCAAAUGUUGAAACUAGGGCAGAUGUUAUAAUGGUUCGGCGAUGAUUUUUUUCUGAAAGGUCCCAAAGUUGUAAUUCAAUCCGAAUUCGUUUUACCCAAAUCCUUUCUAAGUCCUUCCGAUCAAUCGACAAGAAUGUUCAAAAUUGGAAGAUACAAUUACUUGGAUCUGAUGCAACCAAAAUGAGAGAAAUAAAAUAAGUGAGUCUUAUUGGUGAAAACCUCCUCGGGCACCACAAGACGAUGGUAAGUAGAGAAAAUAAAAUAAGAGAGUCUUGUUAGUGAAAACUCGCAAAGAGCAUUAUAAGGCGAUGGUAAAAAGAGAAAUGAGAGAGGUCCGCCGGUGAAAACCCGGAAAGGGUGUGAUCUAGCAUAAACUCACACCACAAUUAUAGGUAGUGAGGCGGUCGAAGUAAUAAUAAAACCCAAUGCGAGUCGGGUAUUGAUUCCUCAGGGAGUUAGAAAUGGGAUUAGGUAUACACUUAGUGUAAGUGUAUAAUGUGCCACAAUUUGCACUUCCACAUUCUUGUUGGCUGUUUCUAUUUCUACUUAAGGCUAUUGAUUGCAAAUAAUAAACUAGAAGACAAUGUUUUUUAUUGGUUAUUUUUCUAAUGAUAAAGGAUCUAAGAUCGUCACUUCCACCUAGGUGGUUACCUAAUAGGUUGUAAACUCUAGGGCAAGUUUGAUUAGUCGAAAUCGUAAUAUAGCAAUCACACGCAAUUACUCACUCUAUACCUCUCGGUAGUUUGAGUGAUUUUGCCCGAUUUGGCUUUCUCAAGUCCAAAUGGGUAUUUCACAAAUCAAGUGAUGUAUGUUCAAGUCGAGUCUUACUAUCUCUAGAUUUGACCCUUUAAUUGGGGCUAUCAAUUUCUUGACUUCACUCCGCUUCCUUGUUAGCGAAGUUUUCCUAGACUUAGUCUCUCUUUCUCAAGUAGAGACUAAGUCAAAUAGGCAUGAAUCAAUGUUUCAACCAUUGAUUCUAUAAUUCAAGCAUGAACAAGGAUAAUAUCCAAUCACAAACAAGCCCUAAAUUAAAUACCCAUUAAGUACCCACACUAGGGUUGAGCCACAACCAUAACUAAAAAUUUAGAUACUCAUGGAAAACAAAGAAAUACCAGAAGAAAUUAAAAUAGAAUGAUUAAUAAUUGACUAGACAAGGAAAAUCUAAUGUUUAGAAGUUAAACUAGUACAAAAUUACUCUAAAGAGUAAAGAAAACGGCUCAGGUGCACUUCUAAAAUUUGAACUUAACCUAAAAAUGACAAAAAAUUCUUUUUAUACUAAGCUAAAAAUAUCUGAAAAAAUGCCCCUGUGAAAUUUGUGCAGCCACAUAAUAAUGGUGCGGUCAGCACAAUGGUCUUCUUCGGCCGCACAAUUAUCGUUCGGUCCGCACUCUUGGGAAUUUGGGCUUGGAACUUCAGGGCUUCUGCUGUCUGCAUAAAAGUGGGUGCGGCCGCACUUCUGAUUAUGCGGUCGCACAAAAGUGUUGCGGUCCGCAUUUUCUGCUUUUGGACUUGAAACAGCUCUCUGAUUCUUCAAUCUUGCGGACCGCAUAAUAAUGACUGCGGCCGAACUUGACCUCCUGCGGCUACACAAUUUUGGUGCGGUCCGCAUGCCUUUAGCUGGUCCAAACACUACUAUCUGAAUCUCCCCUCUGCGGCCGCACUAGAAUUGUGCGGUUCGCACUGCUGCCCCCUUUUGUCCUGUUUUGGUUCUUGUUCACUUUUGUCUCAUUUAUGAGUUAAUUUUGACUUUUUUUGGCUCGUUCCCAAUAUUCCUGCAAGUAAGUACAUUUCGUUAGUUUCCGGGAAUACCUUUAAGCUUUUUUGAGCUAAAACACAAGUAAAAGAGAGCAAAUAAGCAAUCAAAAUCCCUACCUAUCAACUUCCCCAAACUUAAGCUUUUGCUUGUCCUCAAGUAAAUAAGGCAAUUCCCACCUCCGCUAAGAAAAAAGAUAUUUCAGCUAGCCUAAGGUGAAUCAAUUACAAAUCAAUUGGGACCAGUAAUUACCUACAACACAUAUGAAUUGUCAACAACGCUAUGAUAUGACUUUUUGUGUACAAUAGUUCUAGUAUGACACUGGAGCAUCAAGAGUUGACUCUAUUCAUCAAGGAAGCUCUCUCUUUCAUAUAGGUCAUUGUGGAUCCAAAACUCCUCCUCCUCUACUCUCCAUUAGCAAAUCUCACUUUACAAUGUAACACUCGAAGCAAAGAUUGUGAAAAGUUCGCUCAUCUCUCUCAAAAGAAUGUCACAAGUCCGGCUUUGAGUACCAUAAGCUUGCCCCUUUUGUAAAUCACCACUAAUGUAAGCUCACUCAACUUGAAAUCAUGUAGGGAUUUUGCGGGAUGUAAUNNNNNNNNNNNNNNNNNNNNNNNNNNNNNNNNNNNNNNNNNNNNNNNNNNNNNNNNNNNNNNNNNNNNNNNNNNNNNNNNNNNNNNNNNNNNNNNNNNNNNNNNNNNNNNNNNNNNNNNNNNNNNNNNNNCGUAAUGUCACUCUUUCUUGAUCAUAAGAUUCAUUUUUCUCCUUUUCUAUUUACUUCAGCCUUUCCUCUUUAUUUUCUUUUGAAUUCCCUUCAGCUCUUCACUUUAUUCACUUUCUUUUUGGCAUUUUUCUUUUUGUUCUUUCUUUCUUUUCUUUGCCUUCCCUUUUCUUCAUUUCUUUCUCUUUUUUGUACCUUUUAUCACUUUCAAACUGCUCGUCUCUCCCCUAAACGUACAUUUUUGCCAAUUAUUUCUCAAGAAUGCUAAGGAAAGAUCGGGUGCCAAGAGAGGAUCAUUACAAAACGGAUGAAGGCUUGUAACAUGGUUAUUGAAAGAAAAAGGGCUUCGACUCAAAGGGGUUGACUAGGGAUAUCACACUGUAGGAUAUGUAAGAUUUCAAAUUUUAAAUUGGAUCAAGGAGAACCUACAAUCAUUUCUCAAGCCAAGCUACACUUAGAAUUUCGCAUUGAAAAAUAUUCAGGGCAAGUUCUAGACCGUUAGCACGAGUACUUGGACUUGUAACUAAACAUCUCACCUCUCACGCUUUUGGAUUGCUAAAGAGAACAAAGUCGAGGGCCUACAACAACCCUAGCUCAGAUUGAGAAUCACAAAUUGCUCGAUUUGAACCACUCGAUGACUGCUUAAGUCAACACAAGAGUCAAAAGAGUCAAAACUAAAUCUAUUUUCUGCCAACAACUUGUUUUUAACCAUACGAUCAUAGGUAAAUGUGUUGGUACCAAGUGAAGCAUGAUUGAGCCCCCUUUUAUUCAUUACUACUAUAUUUGCCAAAACAUAAAAGAAACAGACUCAAUCCCUUAAGAAGGUUAUCACGCCAUCCAUCAUUGGGAAGAGCCACCCAGUUCACACAUAAUCAACCUUUGGAAAGAACCAUGAUAUUAAGAAAACCAAAGGCUUAUUGUUCACUCAAAACGUAAAACGAAACUAGCAAAUUAAAAAGAAGCUACUAAAGUAAAUAAGAAGUUAUACUACUAAGGAAAAGUAAACUAAAGAAGCUAUUAAAUAAACUACGGAAAGCGAGAUAAAUGUAUAUACAAACCGAAGUCAAAUGAAUAUAUACAUAAGGGAAAAGAAUAUAUACAUAAGGGAAAUGAAUAUUUACAUCAAAUAGAGAGAAUAUAUACAUGUCAAAGGAAAAUAAAGAUGAAAGAAAAAAUAGUAUCAGAGUUAUUACAACCCAAAUGUCAAAUAAUCAAAAUAGACCACCCCCCAAAUGAAAAUAAGCAGUGUCCCCAAUGCUUAACAAAAAUAAGAACAGGGAAAGGGUAGAGAUUUAAUAGAACUCCCUAUGUGGUCUCAGUCUGCAUAAGAUCAUCAACAACCUCGGCCUCAAGCUGUAUCUCAUCAUCACCAGGAUGAGGAACAAUAGGGUUGCUGAGCAUCUGGAUCAUCUCGUCAGCGGUGUGGGCAGUCGCACCCGGCUCCUCAGACUGGCCGGCUGCUGCCUCAGGUGCUGCUGGUCGUGCCUGUGCUGCUGGGGCUGCUGACUCCAUGAGCAGGUCCAAUGGUAAAUCACUGGCAAAUGUAAUCUUCUCAAUCUCCUUUCUCAGCUUGUGUACCGACUUCUUUGACGCUUGAGACUUCUACAUCUUCUUUACUUGUUCGCCUAAAUCUUCAAUGGCUUUCCCUUGUGCCACCACUUUAGCCAUGAUAAUCUUCUGGUCGGCCAUAAUCUUCUUCAAUGUUUCCUCUAUUGACGAAGGUACCUAUGGCUCUGCUGGGGAUGAAGACUAUGCUGCAACAACACUGUAUAUAUUAGUUAGCUUUGUAGUAGUUGCCUGCAUCCAGUUGUUGAGACUCGCUAAUGUCUGGGAGACUCGCAGAGCAGUCUGAGGAUAAGUAAAGGAAGCUGACACUGGUAGUGGCACUGAUAAUCUAGCAGAAGCAGGUGGUCCGGAGGUUAAAUGUGGCAUGGUUACUGUCCCGGUGGAAGUACCGACUGCUGUGGAAGGCUCGACAGCUGAAUCAGUAACUACUACCACUAACUCCUCAGACUAGCCAGUAGAGGUAGUAGCUUUACCCUUGAACUUCGAGUUGUCAACUCCCUAGAGGUGGUACCAUGAGAAAGGCUUCUUAGCCUUUACCUCGGUGUCAUAAUGCUUCCGCACCACCCCUUGAUCCUUGAAGUAUUCUGUGAGAAAGUUCAGGUACGGAUAGGAUCUCUCACCCUUCUGGACAGCUAAAGUGAUGUUGGUGGACAUGAUGACACCAACAUUUAUCAGAUACUCAGCCAUAAUCGAAGCCACCAAAACUGCAUAGGGAAGUAUGAGCAUGUUUUCAUUGAGGCAUGGGUCAAUGCGACUACACACGAACAUUUUCCACCCUUUUGCUUUAAUGUUUAGUGUGGCCCGGGCAAGUGGAACUCCUGCUGUGAGUGAUAACUAGGGAUUUUAACGCAUGUUAUACUCCUUCUUGCUUAUGCUUUGGUUAAAUAUUCAUACAAAAUAGUCCCAAAAGGCUCAUAAAUUGUGCUUGAUUGUAGGUUUGGUCAAAAAACUGACAAGAUGUCAAAGAUCAGCUCAAAAGGAGUGAAACCUGCACAAGUGCCAAAGAAAAGACAAGCUUGGGCAAAAUAGGUCCAGUGCGGCCGCACACCAUUUUGUGCGGUCUGCACUAGGAGGUUUAGAGAGCAGGUUUUUCAGGCUAAAAGACAAUGCGGCCGCACUACCAUUCUGUGUGAUCCGCAGAGCCAAGAUUCAGAGAAGUUGAAGUUGGAGCUUUCAAGCCAAUGCGGUCAGCAAUCCACUUUGUGCGGACCGCACUAGAAGUCACCGCAGCCGUAGUCCAUUCUAUGCGGUCCGCGGAGCCUGAGUUCAGGGAGCUGGAUUUUGAAGCCAAGAGUCCUAGUGUGGCUGCAGUCCAUUCUGUGUGGUACGCACUAACCCCGCAGGGGCAUUUUUGUCCAGAUUUUUCAACUUAGUAUAAUUAGAACCUUUUUUCCAUUUUUAGGUCAUCAGAUAGAUUUUAGAAGCAGCUGCGCUCGUGGGAACGACUCUUGUAGCCAUUUUGAGCAAUUUUACUUACUUUUCAUCAUUGAAUCUUUG
rnacentral:lncRNA from 1 species